GAUGAACGCUGGCGGCGUGCUUAACACAUGCAAGUCGAACGGAAAGGCCCAAGCUUGCUUGGGUACUCGAGUGGCGAACGGGUGAGUAACACGUGGGUGAUCUGCCCUGCACUUCGGGAUAAGCCUGGGAAACUGGGUCUAAUACCGGAUAGGACCACUUCUUGGAUGUUGUGGUGGAAAGUUUUUUCGGUGUGGGAUGAGCUCGCGGCCUAUCAGCUUGUUGGUGGGGUAAUGGCCUACCAAGGCGUCGACGGGUAGCCGGCCUGAGAGGGUGUACGGCCACAUUGGGGCUGAGAGACGGCCCAGACUCCUACGGGGGGCAGCAGUGGGGAAUAUUGCACAAUGGGCGCAAGCCUGAUGCAGCGACGCCGCGUGGGGGAUGACGGGCUUCGGGUUGUAAACUCCUUUCGCUAGGGACGAAGCGUUUUGUGACGGUACCUGGAGAAGAAGCACCGGCUAACUACGUG
rnacentral:rRNA from 1 species